CGAACGCUAGCGGUAGGCUUAACACAUGCAAGUCGAGCGCGAAAGUCAUCUUCGGAUGGCGAGUAGAGCGGCGAACGGGUGAGUAACGCGUAGGUAAUAUGCCCUUAGGUGGAGGACAACCAACCGAAAGGUUGGCUAAUACUGUCAUGAUAUCUUAGAAUCACAUGGUUCUUUGAUCAAAGAUUUAUCGCCUUUGGAUUAGCCUGCGUCCCAUUAGCUAGUUGGUAGUGUAAUGGACUACCAAGGCUACGAUGGGUAGCUGGUCUGAGAGGAUGAUCAGCCACACUGGGACUGAGAUACGGCCCAGACUCCUACGGGAGGCAGCAGUGAGGAAUAUUGCGCAAUGGACGAAAGUCUGACGCAGCCACUCCGCGUGCGGGAUGAAGCCCUUGCGGGUGUAAACCGCUGUUAGAAGGGACGAAUGCUCCUGUUUUGCAGGAGAGGGACGGUACCUUCAGAGAAAGCUCCGGCUAACUCC
rnacentral:rRNA from 1 species